rfam:Schistosoma mansoni strain Puerto Rico chromosome 7, complete genome
AUUCAGCUGAAGAGUCCUAAAUAGGACGAACUGCGCAUCACAGUGGAU